rnacentral:rRNA from 1 species
GAUGAACGCUGGCGGCGUGCUUAACACAUGCAAGUCGAACGGAAAGGCUCCUGCUUGCAGGGGUACUCGAUUGGCGAACGGGUGAGUAACACGUGGGUGAUCUGCCCUGCACUUCGGGAUAAGCCUGGGAAACUGGGUCUAAUACCGGAUAGGACGAUGGUUUGGAUGCCAUUGUGGAAAGUUUUUCGGUGUGGGAUGAGCUCGCGGCCUAUCAGCUUGUUGGUGGGGUAAUGGCCUACCAAGGCGUCGACGGGUAGCCGGCCUGAGAGGGUGUACGGCCACAUUGGGACUGAGAUACGGACCAGACUCCUACGGGAGGCAGCAGUGGGGAAUAUUGCAGAAUGGGCGCAAGCCUGAUGCAGCGACGCCGCGUGGGGGAUGACGGCCUUCGGGUUGUAAACUCCUUUCGCUAGGGACGAAGCGCAAGUGACGGUACCUGGAGAAGAAGCACCGGCUAACUACGUG